AGCUUCAGUUAGCUCAAUUGGUUAGAGUGUGGUGCUCAUAACGCCAAGGUUGUGGGUUCAAUCCCUACACGGGCCA